GAUGAACGCUGGCGGCGUACCUAACGCAUGCAAGUCGAACGGGGAAUCGAGGAGCAAUCUAAGAUUUCUAGUGGCAAACGGGUGAGUAACACGUAGGCAUCUACCGAAAAGUGGGGAAUAACGAGCCGAAAGGUUCGCUAAUACCGUAUGAGCUCGCGAGAGCAAAGGUUCUUUCGGAAGAAAGAAUCGCUUAUUGAGGAGCCUGCGUUCGAUCAGAUAGUUGGUGAGGUAACGGCNCACCAAGUCAAUGACCGAUAGCUGUUCUGAGAGGAAGACCAGCCACACUGGGACUGCGACACGGCCCAGACUCCUACGGGAGGCAGCAGCGAGGAAUAUUGCACAAUGGAGGCAACUCUGAUGCAGUAACGCC
rnacentral:rRNA from 1 species